ACUGUGUUGACAUGCUCUGCACCUUGCUCCUGCCCUCGCCUUUCACUCUUAUUAUCCCCCCGAUACCCCGAUCAUUCCUGACAGCUCGGGAGUGCCUGGAUUUCAUCAUCCAGCCCUGCAGGAUGCUCCCCUUUGUUCUGAGGAAUGCUGUCCCAGACAGAGAGGAGGACAUGGAGGUAGAUACCAAGAUUGAUAUGGAGGAGGAGAUGGAAAUAGAUGGAGAAGACCCUGGAGAGGGAAAGAUGGAUGUGGAUGUGGAUGAGGAAGAAGAGAUGGACGUGGAUGUGACUAAGGAGGAAGAGAUGGAUGUGGAUAUGGAAGAGUAGAUUGAGGACAUGGAUAUUGAUUAAGAAGGUGCGAUGGACAUCACCGACAGAGACACCACCCUUGUGUAUAUAUGUUCUACAGUUUGUUGUUGUUCUUUAGAAUAUAGAUUUUAGGGCUAUUUUUGACUUCUGUAAAUACAUUUCCCAUAGUUUUGCUAGGUAGGUUUUUAUGUAUAUAUGUUCUAUCGA